rnacentral:rRNA from 1 species
UACGGAGGGAGCUAGCGUUGUUCGGAAUUACUGGGCGUAAAGCGCACGUAGGCGGCUUUGUAAGUUAGAGGUGAAAGCCCGGGGCUCAACCCCGGAAUUGCCUUUAAGACUGCAUCGCUUGAAUCCGGGAGAGGUGAGUGGAAUUCCGAGUGUAGAGGUGAAAUUCGUAGAUAUUCGGAAGAACACCGGUGGCGAAGGCGGCGACCUGGUCCUUUACUGACGCUGAGGCGCGAAAGCGUGGGGAGCAAACAGG